rnacentral:rRNA from 1 species
GUGUCAGCCGCCGCGGUAAUACGAAGGGUGCAAGCGUUGUUCGGAUUUAUUGGGCGUAAAGCGUGCGCAGGCGGGUUCGCAAGUCAGGUGUGAAAUCUCGAGGCUUAACCUCGAAAUUGCGCCUGAAACUGCAAGUCUAGAAUGUCGGAGAGGGAAGGGGAAUAUCUCAUGUAGGGGUAAAAUCCGUAGAUAUGAGAUGGAACACCAGAGGCGAAGGCGCCUUCCUGGACGACUAUUGACGCUGAGGCACGAAAGCGUGGGGAGCAAACAGGAUUAGAUACCCUAGUAGUCC